rnacentral:rRNA from 1 species
GGGGCACCCCCAGGAGUGGACCCUGCGGCUUAUUUUGACUCCACGGGGGAAAUCUCACCGCGCCGGGACAGUGGGAGGAUUCAGAUAGUGAGAUCUUUUUCGUGAUUGUGUGGGUGGGGGUGCGGGGCCGUUCAUAUGGGGGGGCGCGAUUUGUGGGGUUUUUUCCUAUCACGAGAGACACUCUCCCCUACUAAAUAGAUCGGUGUUUUACAAACAACGUCGAGACUUCUUAGGGGGACGGUGUUGAUUCAACCGCACGAAACAGAGCAAUAACAUGUCUGUGACGCCCAUAGAUGUCGCUGGCCGCACGCGCGCUACACUGAGGUGAUCAGCGUGCUUUUUGACGUAGUCUGUCGAUACCAGGAUGCAAACGUCCCUGCUUCGUGUCUGGAAUAGGAGAUUGUAACUAUGCUCAUGAACGACGAAUUAGUGUGAGUCGCGAGUCACGUCUCGCGUUGACUGGUCCUGUACACUCUACACAUCGCUGGCGCUACUGCGGAGUGAUGUAUAGUGAGUCUC